rnacentral:rRNA from 1 species
GAAUGCAGUCGAGGGGUAGAAUUUCUUCGCUUGUUUGUGACCGGCGCACGGGUGCGUAACGCGUAUGCGAUCUACCCUUUACUGGAAAAUAGCCCGGAUAAAUUCAGAUUAAUGCCCCAUAUGCUCGUAAGAUCUCCUGAUCCACCGAGGAAAGCUCCGGCGGUAAAGGAUGAUCAUGCAUCCCAUUAUCUUGUUGGUGAGGUAACGGCUCACCAAGGAGACGAUGGGUAGGGGGCCUGAGAGGGCGAUCCCCCACACUGGUACUGAGACACGGACCACACUCCUACGGGAGGCAGCAGUGAUGAAUAUUGGGCAAUGGAGGCAACUCUGACCCAGCCAUGCGGCGUGCAAGAAGACUGUCCUCUGGAUUGUAAUCUGCUUUUAUUAAGGAAUAAACCCUCCUACCUGUAGGAUGCUGAAGGUACCUGAUGAAUAAGCAUCGGCUAACUCCGUGCCAGCAGCCGCGGUAAUACGGAGGAUGCAAGCGUUAUCCGGAUUUAUUGGGUUUAAAGGGUCCGUAGGCGGGUAUUUAAGUCAGUGGUGAAAGCCCACAGCUCAACUGUGGAACUGCCAUUGAUACUGUAUGUCUUGAGUAUAGUAGAAGUAGGCGGAAUACGGCAUGUAGCGGUGAAAUGCAUAGAUAUGCCCUAGAACACCGAUUGCGAAGGCAGCUUACUAUGUUUUAACUGACGCUGAUGCACGAAAGCGUGGGGAGCAAACAGGAUUAGAUACCCUGCUAGUCCACGCCGUAAACGAUGACUACUCGCUGCUGGCUAUAUACAGUCUGUGUACAAGACGCAAAGCAUUAGAUAAUGCACCCUCGGGGAGUACGCCGGCGACAGGGUAAACUCACAAGGAGAUUGUCGGGGGCACGCACAGACGCUGUAGCAUGAUGGUUUUAUAUCGAUGAUACGCGAGGAAACCCUACCACGGCCUAUG